rnacentral:lncRNA from 1 species
AUUUUUUGCUCAACCACUUGUUAAGAACCCCUGCUAAGAAAUAUGUGUGCCCACUGGUAGAAGGAAGUAGUAUAGGGGUAGGUGUGCUUCAGAUAUUUGUAGGGAAUUGCACUAUUAAGAGGUUCUCACAAAGGCCAAUCACUACUUUUUUUGUGUGUGUGUGUGCAAAGGCUCGUGGUUGCAGGUGCUUGAACCAUCAGCACUCCAAUGCCAAAGUCCUCACCUGCCCUGAAGUAGGGUUACCACCGAACUACCUGUGACAAGGGACAGUGCCUUACAUGUAUAAAGCACUUGACUUCCCAUUUCUCAAGGAUUAGCACCCAGCAGUGUGCGGUGAUGUUUGUCCUUCCAUGACUAUGACUUUCUGCAGUGGUUGCAUUGCACUGUGGCCACAGAGCUGUGCAAAAAACACAAAAGACUUGCCUAUAGGAGCCAGAAUAUAUGUAGGAGUUGGAUCUUCACUUUGGAACUUCGUGUCGGAAGAGGUUGUCUUUAUUUUGUACAUUCCUCAUUCUUUGAGUGCCUGUCUUUGAGACCUGAGACUAAUUUGCAGGAGUUUGAAAACACAUAGCUACAGCUGUGUUAUGCCAUGUGCUCAGAAAAUUUAAAUUUUUCUUGUCUCCACUGGAUAUCCAAAAUCAAUAGAUACUUUUGGAUUUAAACUUCUUGUGCCUCAAAUGCAAAUCUGUAAAAGGGGAAUAAUAAUAUUCACCUUGCAUGGUUUUUGUACUGGAUUUUUUUCUAAAGCAGUGUUUUUACACCAAAUUACUUAAGCUUAUUAAAGAUGCAAACAAGGAAAAUUCAACCAUGUAGUUGUACUGACAGUAACAGGAUAUAUCAACAGGCUAGAAACUUUAAAUCUGCUG